UACGGAGGAUGCGAGCGUUAUCCGGAUUUAUUGGGUUUAAAGGGUGCGCAGGCGGGAGAUCAAGUCAGCGGUAAAAUGUCGGGGCUCAACCCCGGCCGGCCGUUGAAACUGGUUUUCUAGAGUUGGAGAGAAGUAUGCGGAAUGCGCGGUGUAGCGGUGAAAUGCAUAGAUAUCGCGCAGAACUCCGAUUGCGAAGGCAGCAUGCCGGCUCCACACUGACGCUGAGGCACGAAAGCGUGGGUAUCGAACAGG
rnacentral:rRNA from 1 species